CGAGUCGAGGAGCAUAUCCGAUUAUUUCAUUUCGUCAAAUCAACACAUCAUUUUCUCACCUCUACACUCGAGGAGUCAAAGGCAGUAUCUACACCUGAGAGGAAUCGAUCAUACCAUAGGCCGCUAUCUACACCUGUACCAUAGACCGCUAUCUACACCUGUACCAUAGACCGCUAUCUACACCUGUAGCAUAGGCCGCUAUCUACACCUCUACACUCGAGGAGAUUCACGCAGCAUCAACACAUUAUCAUGCCGAGGGAACGCAGACUUCGUGGGAUCAAUUCAAGCGCAGUUCGCCAUCGCAUCAGUUUUGAGGACGAGGAUAUUGACAUUGAGAGUGUGCUUGAGAGGACGAAAACUCGAGUUUUCGAGAUAAUUAGGGAGCAUGCGGCACGGUAUGAUGCAAAUGUUAAGUGGUACAUAGUGCUUAACGUUUUAUUGUAUAAAUUAGUGGUGCUGGAUGACAAGGUUGAUGAGUCUGUUUCAUCUCUAAUAAAUCUACAUAGUUACUCCAACAUAGCGCUAAACGUGCUUGAGAACUAUGAAGAUUUUAA